rnacentral:rRNA from 1 species
CCAGACUCCUACGGGAGGCAGCAGUGAGGAAUAUUGGUCAAUGGGCGCGAGCCUGAACCAGCCAAGUCGCGUGAGGGAUGACGGUCCUAUGGAUUGUAAACCUCUUUUGUCAGGGAGCAAAGGGCGCCACGUGUGGCGCUUUGCGAGUACCUGAAGAAAAAGCAUCGGCUAACUCCGUGCCAGCAGCCGCGGUAAUACGGAGGAUGCGAGCGUUAUCCGGAUUUAUUGGGUUUAAAGGGUGCGCAGGCGGAAUGUCAAGUCAGCGGUAAAAUUUCGGGGCUCAACCCCGUCGUGCCGUUGAAACUGGCGUUCUUGAGUGAGCGAGAAGUAUGCGGAAUGCGUGGUGUAGCGGUGAAAUGCAUAGAUAUCACGCAGAACUCCGAUUGCGAAGGCAGCAUACCGGCGCUCAACUGACGCUCAUGCACGAAAGUGUGGGUAUCGAACAGGAUUAGAUACCCGGGUA